GGGGGUAUAGCUCAAUGGGAGAGCACUUGCUUUGUGUGUAAGAGGCCCUGGGUUCAGCCCCCAGCAUCUCCA
rnacentral:tRNA from 1 species